GCCAUGCCUACCACGGUCCAGGCUGCCAUGCCUACCAACUUCUCGGCAUUCUCCACGUGAAUAGGGAAAGAGACGUGAGCGGUUGUCUCGUGAUAUGGAGACAGAAGCCGGGCGGUGCUGGAUACAACUCAGUCCCUCGCACGGGGGACCCCACCGCCGCUGGCACGGAAGGCACAGGGUGGCACAAAGCGCACGGUGAGCGAUCGCCGCGGUCGACCUCGACUCCGUCGGGACCUCGCCGGCGCGACGAGUCGGCGCGUUUGCCGUGAAGGGGCCGGCCCGGCCUGUUGUCCGUGGGGCUACAUUUCUCCGACGAUGUUCUCCGAAUUCCUAUCGCGGGUUUCAGCGGCGCCGCCGCCGCCGCCACCCGGGCAGCGGCCCUGACGGACAAAUUCCUGGGCCCGUC